UAGGGAAUCUUCGGCAAUGGGGGGAACCCUGACCGAGCAACGCCGCGUGAGUGAAGAAGGUUUUCGGAUCGUAAAGCUCUGUUGUUAAGGAAGAACGAGUGUGAGAAUGGAAAGUUCAUACUGUGACGGUACUUAACCAGAAAGGGACGGCUAACUACGUGCCAGCAGCCGCGGUAAUACGUAGGUGGCAAGCGUUGUCCGGAUUUAUUGGGCAUAAAGCGAGCGCAGGCGGUCAAUUAAGUCUGAUGUGAAAGCCCCCGGCUCAACCGGGGAGGGUCAUUGGAAACUGGUUGACUUGAGUGCAGAAGAGGAGAGUGGAAUUCCAUGUGUAGCGGUGAAAUGCGUAGAUAUAUGGAGGAACACCAGUGGCGAAGGCGACUCUCUGGUCUGUAACGGACGCUGAGGCUCGAAAGCGUGGGUAGCAAACAGG
rnacentral:rRNA from 1 species